GGUUAAGUGACUAAGCGUACAGGGCGGAUGCCUUGGCAAUCAGAGGCGAUGAAGGACGUGCUAAUCUGCGAAAAGCUUGGAUGAGUCGAUAAGAGGCGUUUAAUCCAAGAUAUCCGAAUGGGGAAACCCAGUAGAUGAAGAAUCUACUAUCAAUAAAUGAAUACAUAGUUUAUUGAGGCGAACCGGGAGAACUGAAACAUCUAAGUACCCCGAGGAAAAGAAAUCAACCGAGAUUCUGUGAGUAGCGGCGAGCGAAAGCGGAAGAGCCAGUAAGUUUUAGCUAGCAUAUUAGAGGAAUUGGCUGGGAAGCCAAAUCAAAGAGGGUGAUAAUCCCGUACUCGAAAGUAUGUUAGUGGAACUAAGCUUACGAUAAGUAAGGCGGGACACGAGAAAUCCUGUUUGAAGAUGGGGGGACCAUCCUCCAAGGCUAAAUACUCCUGAUUGACCGAUAGUGAACCAGUACUGUGAAGGAAAGGCGAAAAGAACCCCGGUGAGGGGAGUGAAAUAGAACCUGAAACCCUGUACGUACAAGCAGUAGGAGCGAGGGCAACCUUGUGACUGCGUACCUUUUGUAUAAUGGGUCAGCGACUUAUAUUUUGUAGCGAGGUUAACUGAAUAAGGGAGCCGAAGGGAAACCGAGUCUUAACUGGGCGUUGAGUUGCAAGGUAUAGACCCGAAACCCGGUGAUCUAGCCAUGGGCAGGUUGAAGGUUGGGUAACACUAACUGGAGGACCGAACCGACUAAUGUUGAAAAAUUAGCGGAUGACUUGUGGCUGGGGGUGAAAGGCCAAUCAAACCGGGAGAUAGCUGGUUCUCCCCGAAAUCUAUUUAGGUAGAGCCUUGAGCGGACACCUUCGGGGGUAGAGCACUGUUUCGGCUAGGGGUCCAUCCCGGAUUACCAACCCGAUGCAAACUGCGAAUACCGAAGAGUGAUACUCAGGAGACACACGGCGGGUGCUAACGUUCGUCGUGGAGAGGGAAACAACCCAGACCGCCAGCUAAGGUCCCAAAGUCUAUAUUAAGUGGGAAACGAAGUGGGAAGGCUUAGACAGCUAGGAUGUUGGCUUAGAAGCAGCCAUCAUUUAAAGAAAGCGUAAUAGCUCACUAGUCGAGUCGGCCUGCGCGGAAGAUGUAACGGGGCUCAAAUAUAGCACCGAAGCUGCGGCAUCAGAAUUUAUUCUGUUGGGUAGGGGAGCGUUGUGUAAGCGGAUGAAGGUGGCUCGAGAGGGUUGCUGGACGUAUCACAAGUGCGAAUGCUGACAUAAGUAACGAUAAAACGAGUG
rnacentral:rRNA from 1 species